GACAGAGGGUGCAAACGUUGCUCGGAAUUACUGGGCGUAAAGGGCUUGUAGGCGGCCAACUAAGUCCGACGUGAAAUCCCCAGGCUUAACCUGGGAACUGCGUCGGAUACUGGAUGGCUUGAAUUCGGGAGAGGGAUGCAGAAUUCCAGGUGUAGCGGUGAAAUGCGUAGAUAUCUGGAGGAAUACCGGUGGCGAAGGCGGCAUCCUGGACCGACAUUGACGCUGAGGAGCGAAAGCUAGGGGAGCAAACGGG
rnacentral:rRNA from 1 species